AGAAUAUUGAAAAUAGUCAUAGUAUAGUGUGUUAAAAAAGUGAUAAAAAAGUCAUAGUAUAGUACGUCAAACAAAGUCUGGAAGAACAUUCAAACUCCACAUAA